GAUGAACGCUGGCGGCGUGCCUAAUACAUGCAAGUCGAGCGAACGGACGAGAAGCUUGCUUCUCUAAUGUUAGCGGCGGACGGGUGAGUAACACGUGGAUAACCUACCUAUAAGACUGGGAUAACUUCGGGAAACCGGAGCUAAUACCGGAUAAUAUUUUGAACCGCAUGGUUCAAAAGUAAAAGACGGUCUUGCUGUCACUUAUAGAUGGAUCCGCGCUGCAUUAGCUAGUUGGUAAGGUAACGGCUUACCAAGGCAACGAUGCAUAGCCGACCUGAGAGGGUGAUCGGCCACACUGGAACUGAGACACGGUCCAGACUCCUACGGGAGGCAGCAGUAGGGAAUCUUCCGCAAUGGGCGAAAGCCUGACGGAGCAACGCCGCGUGAGUGAUGAAGGUCUUCGGAUCGUAAAACUCUGUUAUUAGGGAAGAACAUAUGUGUAAGUAACUGUGCACAUCUUGACGGUACCUAAUCAGAAAGCCACGGCUAACUACGUG
rnacentral:rRNA from 1 species